CAGUCGCCGCGGUAACACGUAGGGUGCGAGCGUUAAUCGGAAUUACUGGGCGUAAAGCGUGCGCAGGCGGUUUUGUAAGACAGGCGUGAAAUCCCCGGGCUCAACCUGGGAAUGGCGCUUGUGACUGCAAAGCUAGAGUGCGGCAGAGGGGGAUGGAAUUCCGUGUGUAGCAGUGAAAUGCGUAGAUAUGCGGAGGAACACCGAUGGCGAAGGCAAUCCCCUGGGCCUGCACUGACGCUCAUGCACGAAAGCGUGGGGAGCAAACAGGAUUAGAUACCCCAGUAGUCCCUGUCUCUUAUAA
rnacentral:rRNA from 1 species